GAGAGUUUGGCCGAGUGGUUAAGGCGUCAGAUUUAGGCUUAGCAGCUCCCCCGGGGGCUUCUACGGAAAGUCAAGUUCUCUGAUAUCUACGGAUGCGCGGGUUCGAAUCCCGUAGCUCUCA
rfam:Lachancea fermentati genome assembly, chromosome: H